UGCAAUGAUGAUUAUGUUUAUAAUCUCGUUAAUCUGAUAUGAUUUUUUGACGAAUAACUCUCAUAUCCAUUGAGCUUCUGAGC
rfam:Helianthus annuus linkage group 3, whole genome shotgun sequence.